AUUCAGGGAUUCAGCUUCUUCCUGGUUUAGUCUUUUAAAUUUCGCCAUUCUGAUGGGUAUGCAGUGAAAUCUCAUUGUGGUUUUAAUUUGCAUUUUCCUGAUGACUGAUGAUGUUUAGCGCCUAUUCAAAUGCUCAGUGGACAUCUGGAUAUUUUCUUUUGCCCAUUUGUAUUGAUUUGUUUGUCUUUUUCUUAUUGAUUUGUAGGAAUUCUUUAAAGAUUUGGAUGUAAUCUGUUUGUCAGAUAAAUGUAUUGCAAAAGAUUUUCCCAGCCUGUGGCUUGCCUUUUCAGUCUUUUAAUCACAGUAUGCUGUAGUGUUUUUUUAAAAAAAACUUUUAUUUUGGAAUAAUUAUAGAUUCACAGAACAUUGCAAAAAUAGUACGGAGAGGUCACCCAGUUUCCCCCAAUGGUUACAUCUUACAUAACUACAGUACAAUAUCAAACCCAGGAAGUUGACAUUGGUACAAUGUGUGUAUAGUUUUAUGCCAUUUUAUACCAUGUGUAUCACUGCAAUUCAGACACAGAACUACCCCCAUCACUGCAAGGAUCUCCUUCAUGCUAUUCCUUUAUAGUCACACCCAUCCCCUUCUCCAGUCCCCCGUCAUCUGUAACCCCUGGUAAUCACUACUUUCUUCUCUAUCUGUACAAUUUAGUCGUUUCAAGAAUGUUACAUAAAUGGAAUCAUAGAGUGCAUGAUUUUUUGAAACUGGCUUUUUUCCACCCAGCAUAAUGCCCUUGAGUUCCAUCCAAACCAUUUUUACAUGUAGAAAACUUAUGUUACUUAUGCUACUUUGCAUUACUUGAUUAUUUAUGUUCGAUAAGGGAAUAAACCAGUUUGUUUUGUUACUAUAAAUAGAUUCUUGUCUUUCAUGUAAACACACCAAGAUAAUUCCCUGGGAUUUAAAUAUUCAGCCCUAGGUGCCAGACACGCUGUCCAUGGAGGAGGCCCACACACUACCCACAUCUGGUGGGCCGGGGAAAGGGACAUCAUGAACUUAUGUCCUGCAAGUCACAAUUAUGGCUUCCAUUAUUGCCGGUGGUCCACAGAGGCCUCUGCAUUCGUGUUACCGAUGUGGAAGAAGGAAAUACAAUAGAAUCAAAACUGCUCUUUUUAUGGUUCAAGGAUAAUGAGGAAAACAGAUGACUCAUUUUGCUUUUAAGAAUGAUGAAACACACAGGUUUCAAAAUGGGACAUAUUAAGAACCUCAUUUGUUACGAUCACUUUCAGGAGAAACUGGAAUAUCCUUUCUGAAUGCAAAAGUGUCCAGUCCAUGGUGCUCACUUUAUUGCUGGAGAUAACAUUCUCUGAAGUCUAAUUUCCCUUUCCGCCUUCGGUUCCUCUGCAGCUUCUUCUCCCAAGGCACCAUGUCCUCACGCCUUCCCUAAGGUGUCUGCCAUAAGCGCUAAAUUUUGAGCGGUUCUGUGGUUGCGCAUGCUAAUCAACAGCUUGCAAAACACCUCUGCCUUUCACUUUGAAAGGGACACACUUGGUGGUGUUUUAUGUCAAUUGAUUCUCUUUGUAUUCAACUGCAUAUUAUAAUAUCACAGAAGAUAUUCACAGAAUAUGACAGAAGGUCAUCGAUGCAAGAAGUGGCUGUGGCCUUUCCUUUCAACUGGAGCAAUGGUGGUGAGGGGGAGGAGGAACAAAGGGGCUUUCUAGGGUGCCUGGUAAGUGUGCAAGGAAGAGAAUACAUCUAGGAUAGCUUGGGUAAGUGUGGGGCUACACUGGGAGACUGCACAUUGAGCAAUAAUAACAAAAAGUGCCUGGUGGCCAAGCUUCAUGGACAGUGGAGCCGGAGGGCCAUUUAUCAGUAAUCAUUUGGGUGUUACCUUGAAAUUACAUCCAGAUUCUAACCCUUUUUUUUUUUUUUUACUACCUCUGCCACUUCCGUCUUCCUCUCAGCCAUCAUCAUCUCUUGCUGAUGGGGUUACUGAAAUGGCUUCCUGUUUCUACCAUUGUGUGUCACCCUCCUACCCUCUCCCAGGAAGCCAGAUCUUUUAGAAAAUUGUGUCACUGUUUUGAUGAAUAUCCUUCAGUGGCUUCCUAUCUCACUUAGAAUAAAACCCCAAAUACUUCCUCUGGCCAAAAGCACCUAUGUAUUUCUCUGAGCCUUUUCUCACAUUCUCUCUCUUUUUCCAGACAUGCCAGCCUCCUUGCUGCUUCUUGGACAUAUCACAACACUCCCACCGUGGCCUUGUCUUUCCCAUCAAGCAUUGUCCCUCUUUCAAAUAUAGAUGUGAACUCAUCAGAAAAGGGAUGUGUUAGCAAUGUGUGUCUCCAAAGGCUAUUACGGUCUGAAUGCUGACGUAGCCCAUGAGCGAAUGUGUUGGAUCGCUGCCAUUGACAAACUUCAGGCCGUUUCUCAUGUCCCUGCACCCAGCUCUGAGAGGGCGUGGGGAUGAGUCACAGCAUGGAGUCCAGACCUGAGGGUGAUAGAUAGGUGAAGAUGGUCCUAGGACCAUCUUCCUCAGGGCUAUGCCGAGCAGGAAGAUGGCACGAGUGUUUUCCUAUGACACAGCUGUCUGAUAAAUUCCCACCGCAGCAAAGUUAAUACCUGGAUACACGGCGCCGACAGCCAACACAGAGAGCGAGGGGCACGCUAGGUAAGCCAUGUCUUCUGCUUUACUCCAAGAAAGACUCUGGAUAGCACAAGGCCUCCAGUAUAUUUUGACAGACUGUUUUGCACCAGAAAAGCUAAUUUGCUAUGAUUAGUUGCACUACAUUUGCGAGAUAGUUACUCUAUGUUUAUUUGGAAGGCAAAUGAGAGUAUCUUUUGGUGAUUUUUCUUUAAGAACUGAAGAAACUCUCUAAAUUUUCUUAAAAAAAAAAAAAAGCGACCAUGAAUAAAACCUCUUGGGUCCUGGGAAAUAGAAAUGUUUAUGCACCAUGAAAAGACAAAAGGGGCCCGCACCACUUACAAGCAGCCCCAGCAGAAACGCAGAGGGAGAGGAGGGAGCCGGAGGGCCCAGGGAAGCCAGGUAUAGCACUGAGGCCUGGGGGAGACUGAGCCAAUGGUGAGAGGGGAGAUGCAAGCUGGAGGAGCCUGAGCUAAAGGCCCAGAUCAGUCAGGAAGAAAUAGAGAGGCCUUUCAGAAAGUUCUCAGAGUAGCAGACAGGAAUAAAGGGAGAAUUGGAGGCUUCGUGGAGUAGCACUGGAGAGAGAGGGAGACCCUGGGGCUGAACACAGAGAAGUAGAACUUGAGAAAAGCUUGAUACUGAUGGGAAGACACCCUAAUCUCUUGCUCUCAUCUUUCUUUCUUUCUUUCCUUCCUUCCUUCCUUUUUCUUUCCUUCUUCUCUACUUUUCUCCCUCCCUCCCUUUCAGUCACACUCAUACACACACACACACACACACACACACACACAUAAUGUCUAAUACAUGUCUUGCUUUCUUCCAUGAAAUUCUAUGUGCUAUGCAAUAUAGGCCUCUUGGGCCAACUAUAAAUCAUCAAUAAAGUCUACAUUUCUCAUGAA